GACGAACGCUGGCGGCGUGCCUAAUACAUGCAAGUAGAACGCUGAAGGAGGAGCUUGCUUCUCUGGAUGAGUUGCGAACGGGUGAGUAACGCGUAGGUAACCUGCCUGGUAGCGGGGGAUAACUAUUGGAAACGAUAGCUAAUACCGCAUAAUAGUAGAUGUUGCAUGACAUUUGCUUAAAAGGUGCAAUUGCAUCACUACCAGAUGGACCUGCGUUGUAUUAGCUAGUUGGUGGGGUAACGGCUCACCAAGGCGACGAUACAUAGCCGACCUGAGAGGGGGAUCGGCCACACUGGGACUGAGACACGGCCCAGACUCCUACGGGAGGCAGCAGUAGGGAAUCUUCGGCAAUGGACGGAAGUCUGACCGAGCAACGCCGCGUGAGUGAAGAAGGUUGUCGGAUCGUAAAGCUCUGUUGUAAGAGAAGAACGAGUGUGAGAGUGGAAAGUUCACACUGUGACGGUAUCUUACCAGAAAGGGACGGCUAACUACGUG
rnacentral:rRNA from 1 species